UGAAUACGAGAUGCUACGGCGUCGAAGCAGUCUAUGUCAUACUUCCAAGAAAAGCUCGCACUGUCAUAAACAAAUAAUGCCUGUACCAUAACCGACACAGGUGGGUAGGUAGAGUAUACUAAGGGGCGCGAGAUAACUCUCUCUAAGGAACUCGGCAAAAUGACUCCGUAACUUCGGGAGAGGGAGUGCCUUAUUUAUAAGGUUGCAAUAACAAGAUCCAAGCAACUGUUUAUCAAAAACACAGGUCUCCGCUAAGUCGUAAGACGAUGUAUGGGGGCUGACGCCUGCCCAGUGCCAGAAGGUUAAAGAAGUUGGUUAGCAUUCGCGAAGCUGAUAACUGAAGCCCUGGUGAACGGCGGCCGUAACAAUAACGGUCCUAAGGUAGCGAAAUUCCUUGUCGGGUAAGUUCCGACCCGCACGAAAGGCGUAAUGAUUUGGAUACUGUCUCGGAGAGGGGCUCGGUGAAAUAGACUUGUCUGUGAAGAUGCGGACUACCUGCACCAGGACAGAAAGACCCUAUGAAGCUUUACUGUAACUUGAGAUUGAAAUUGGACUUUACUUGCGCAGUAUAGGUGGGAGGCGUUGAUAAUAUUCUUGCGGGAUUAUUUGUGCCAUCAGUGAGAUACCACUCUUGUAAUGUUAGAUUUCUAACUUUGUAUCAUUAUCUGGUCAAAGGACAGUUUCAGGCGGGCAGUUUGACUGGGGCGGUCGCCUCCUAAACGGUAACGGAGGCGCACAAAGGUUUCCUCUGAACGGGUAGAAAUCGUAUCUAGAGUGUAAAGGCAUAAGGAAGCUUGACUGUGAGACCUACAAGUCGAGCAGGGACGAAAGUCGGUCUUAGUGAUCUGACGGUGCUGAGUGGAAAGGCCGUCACUCAACGGAUAAAGUUACUCUAGGAUAACAGGCUGAUCUCCCCCAAGAGUUCACAUCGACGGGGAGGUUUGGCACCUCGAUGUCGGCUCAUCGCAUCCUGGGGCGGUAGUACGUCCCAAGGGUUGGGCUGUUCGCCCAUGAAAGCGGUACGCGAGCUGGGUUCAGAACGUCGUGAGACAGUUCGGUCCAUAUCCGGUGUAGGCGUUAGAAUAUUGAGAGGAGCCUUCUUUAGUACGAGAGGACCGAGAAGGACAUACCUCUGGUGUACCAGUUAUCGUGCCAACGGUAAACGCUGGGUAGCUAUGUAUGGAGUGGAUAACCGCUGAAAGCAUCUAAGUGGGAAGCCCACCUCAAGAUAAGUAUUCUCGU
rnacentral:rRNA from 1 species